UGAGCCCUUUUGAGUCCCUUUUUGGCCCCUUUUGGGUUCCCUUCGGGCUCUUUUACCCGAGCGCUUUACGUGGCAUCGGGAUGCCAUGAAGCCUUCUCCAUCUACCCUUGCACUUUCUGUUGCAUUGGGGAAGAUUCAUUAUGCCUCUCCCAGCCAGAGAGGGGUCCCCUUGCGCUCGCUGAGUGUAAGGGAGGAAAAGAAAAAGAAAAAGAAAAAAGACUAUCUCUGAGAAGCGGCUUCGAAUACCUCUGUUAAACAGAGGCCAAAAAGUGCUCUUCUCUCUUAAUUUUUAUUUUGUAGAGGACCACUUGCUUUUAAUUUCUGCUUUUGUCACAAAAUAAUAAAAAUCACCUGAGUCCGACUUUGGACUAGGAGAGCCAACUUUUGCCAGUUCCUUAUUUUUCUCUGGGAUCGUCUUGCGUCAAGCGGGGAGGGUUUCCCCCCUUACGGGGGUGAGUAACUCCUCUUUAACCGCCCAUGGAGAGUUGCCUCCCGGCGGGGAUCGACUUGGACCUCCUGUUAUCUCCUAGUGGGAGUUAAUUUCCCUAUCCCCAUGGCCUGGUCAGAGCCUUUGAGCAUCCCCCUCUCUCAGUCCGGCGACCAAGGAGGGCAAGGCGGGCGUCCUUGAGAAGGAAGGGACCUCCGGUGACACUGGGAGGAUGGCUGAGACCGUUUUUCCUGAGUUUUCCUGAACACAUCCCGGCUGAUUCUCCUACCACUUACACCUGCUGCAAUCUGCACACCUGGUCCUGAUUAUCAUCCGCUGCACCAUAUAAGCCGUGACCAGACAUCCAUUCCCCUGCCGGAUCGUUAGCGUAACCAUUAUUCACCUGGAUUGUCACUCACACCUGCCUGGCUGUCUACUUCGCUGCAGCACAUUUGGAUCAGCACAAAACCCUGCCACCUUCCAGCCUCACUCCCUGCCGACCAACUGGACCUAAUUGUUUUCCACAUUCAAUUCCAAAUAAAUACUCACCUUGUAUUUUCUA